GAUGAACGCUGGCGGCGUGCCUAAUACAUGCAAGUCGAGCGAACAGAUGAGGAGCUUGCUCCUCUGACGUUAGCGGUGGACGGGUGAGUAACACGUGGAUAACCUACCUAUAAGACUGGGAUAACUUCGGGAAACCGGAGCUAAUACCGGAUAAUAUAUUGAACCGCAUGGUUCAAUAGUGAAAGACGGUUUUGCUGUCACUUAUAGAUGGAUCCGCGCCGCAUUAGCUAGUUGGUAAGGUAACGGCUUACCAAGGCGACGAUGCGUAGCCGACCUGAGAGGGUGAUCGGCCACACUGGAACUGAGACACGGUCCAGACUCCUACGGGAGGCAGCAGUAGGGAAUCUUCCGCAAUGGGCGAAAGCCUGACGGAGCAACGCCGCGUGAGUGAUGAAGGUCUUCGGAUCGUAAAACUCUGUUAUUAGGGAAGAACAAAUGUGUAAGUAACUAAGCACGUCUUGACGGUACCUAAUCAGAAAGCCACGGCUAACUACGUG
rnacentral:rRNA from 1 species